rnacentral:rRNA from 1 species
GACGAACCGUGCGGACGUUGUUCGGAAUCACUGGGCGUAAAGCGUGCGCAGGCGGUGAUGUAAGACAGGUGUGAAAUCCCCGGGCUUAACCUGGGAACUGCAUUUGUGACUGCAUCGCUGGAGUGCGGCAGAGGGGGAUGGAAUUCCGCGUGUAGCAGUGAAAUGCGUAGAUAUGCGGAGGAACACCGAUGGCGAAGGCAAUCCCCUGGGCCUGCACUGACGCUCAUGCACGAAAGCGUGGGGAGCAAACAGG